AACGAAGCCCAACCUUGUUCUUAGGUUACAGGCGGUUAGGCCGGGAACUCAAAGGAGACUGCCAGUGAUAAACUGGCGGAAGGUGGGGAUGACGUCAAGUCAUCAUGGCCCUUACGACUAGGGGUACACAAGUGCUACAAUGGUCGAUACAAAGGGAAGAAACCCCGCGAGAGCAACCCAACCCCACAAAGUAUAUAGUAGUCCGGAUCGGAGUCUGCAACUGGACUCCGGAAGUCGGAAUCGCUAGUAACGUAGAUCAGAAUUCGCGGGAAUAACGUUCCCGACCUCCCCUUUUCCACCCAUCCACCCCCAUGUGAACUCUCGGCCCAAGCUUCUCUCCUCAUAAUU
rnacentral:rRNA from 1 species